UACAGAGGUCUCAAGCGUUGUUCGGAAUUACUGGGCGUAAAGGGCGCGUAGGCGGCCUGCUAAGUCGAACGUGAAAUCCCUGGGCUCAACCCAGGAACUGCGUCCGAUACUGGUUGGCUUGAAUCCGGGAGAGGGAUGUGGAGUUCCAGGUGUAGCGGUGAAAUGCGUAGAUAUCUGGAGGAACACCGGUGGCGAAGGCGACAUCCUGGACCGGUAUUGACGCUGAGGCGCGAAAGCCAGGGGAGCAAACGGG
rnacentral:rRNA from 1 species